UACGGAGGGUGCAAGCGUUAAUCGGAAUUACUGGGCGUAAAGCGCACGUAGGCGGCUUUGUAAGUUAGAGGUGAAAGCCCGGAGCUCAACUCCGGAACUGCCUUUAAGACUGCAUCGCUUGAAUCCAGGAGAGGUGAGUGGAAUUCCGAGUGUAGAGGUGAAAUUCGUAGAUAUUCGGAAGAACACCAGUGGCGAAGGCGGCUCACUGGACUGGUAUUGACGCUGAGGUGCGAAAGCGUGGGGAGCAAACAGG
rnacentral:rRNA from 1 species